rfam:Myotis brandtii contig176274, whole genome shotgun sequence.
GGCAGUUCCCGGGUGACGCACCCCGGAAUCGGGCUCCCUCCUCUUUGGUUCCAGGUAUGUCAUCCAAGAACUGCA